GGGAGAACAAGUGUUUGAUACACUGCCAGUUUUGCAGAUUUUCCUACAUACAAGGCAUGUAGAGGUCUAGGUACACUUCAACUGUGAGAGACAGAAUUUAAAACAAAAAUCCAGAAAUCACAUUGUAUGAUUUUUAAUUAAUUAGCAUUUUAUUGCAAAUUAAUUCUCUUGUGGCUGAAUGGAAGCAAGUCCUUGCAGCAAUGUUCCAACGUCUAGUGGAAAGCCUUCCCAGAAGACUGGAGGCUGUUAUAGCGGCAAAGGGUGGACCACGCCAUAUAAAUGCACUUGAUUUUUGGAAGGAGAUGUUCGACGAGCAGGUGUCCACAUACGUUUGGCCAUGUAGUGUAUAUGUGAGUGGUUAUUUUUGUAUGAAAUUAUUAUUUUUGAUACCAACAGAAACAGAUUUGUUUUUUAUAUGUUCUAUCAAUUCUGAGUGAUGCUGUCCACGAACCAGACACCUUUUUCCAGUCUCAUAUAUUUUCUCUUGUUUUACAGGAUACUAUUAUCUGUUGAUGUGGUCCUAAGCCUGUUACACCUAUAUGAGUUGCAUCACCAACACAUGCACUACAAAUCAUUUAUUCAAAUUAGUCAUGGAUGUGUGUUUUGGAGGUGGAUGAGAACACAAUGUCUUUUCUUGAAUAAACUGACACAUAGUUUCCUAAUUUGAUUUUAGGAGCAGCAUGGAGAGUUAAAUAAACCUUUUCAGAUGUCGUUAUGAUAAAUGUUUUCAAUGAAAUACACCAUCUUAACAUUUUAUUUGGCACAUCUUUUUUUUCUAAUUUUUUUGCAGACCAUGUCUCCAAAGGAGAAGUUAACGUUUGAGGACCAGAUCAGGGUUCUUUGUUUUCUGUGCAGAGCAGCACCCCAAGAUCAAAGCCCAACACCCAAGCCUUGGCAUUUGGGAUGUGGCCAAGAAGCUUGGAGAGAUGUGGAACAAUUUGACAGACUCCAAUAAGCAGCCAUAUCUUGCCAAAACAAACAAACUCAAGGAAAAAUACAAUAGGGUAAUGCCAUUGGGGACUCCUUAUUUGUCUCAAAGGAAAUGUAAUUGAAUAGGAUGUUUACCACUAAUUGGUCUGACUGUGGUGUCAGACCCUAUAUGCAAG
ensembl:lncRNA